rnacentral:rRNA from 1 species
UACGUAGGGAGCGAGCGUUUGUCCGGAAUUAUUGGGCGUAAAGAGCGUGUAGGCGGUCCGGUAAGUCCGCUGUGAAAGUCCAGGGCUCAACCCUGGAAUGCCGGUGGAUACUGCCGGGCUAGAGUCCGGAAGAGGCGAGUGGAAUUCCUGGUGUAGCGGUGAAAUGCGCAGAUAUCAGGAAGAACACCCGUGGCGAAGGCGGCUCUCUGGGACGGUACUGACGCUGAGACGCGAAAGCGUGGGGAGCGAACAGG